AACGAACGCUGGCGGCAUGCCUAACACAUGCAAGUCGAACGAGACCUUCGGGUCUAGUGGCGCACGGGUGCGUAACGCGUGGGAACCUGCCUUUAGGUUCGGAAUAACAGUGAGAAAUUACUGCUAAUACCGGAUGAUGUCUUCGGACCAAAGAUUUAUCGCCUUUAGAUGGGCCCGCGUUGGAUUAGCUAGUUGGUGGGUAAAGGCCUACCAAGGCGACGAUCCAUAGCUGGUCUGAGAGGAUGAUCAGCCACACUGGGACUGAGACACGGCCCAGACUCCUACGGAGGCAGCAGUGGGGAAUAUUGGACAAUGGGCGAAAGCCUGAUCCAGCAAUGCCGCGUGAGUGAUGAAGGCC
rnacentral:rRNA from 1 species